AUUUGAAUCAUUAAUACCUAACCUAUAGUUUUAAUUGAACAAAUUAUAUUUAAUAUUAAGUAAAUAUUAGUACAUUUAAUUUUAUAUACUAGCUGUUCCACCCAGCACGUGGCUUCAUCCGUGCCAAACAAACGUGUAAUAAAAACAUUUUCCCCCUGAUUUCCGUUUCAAUUCCCGCUAUUAUCACUACAGUUAACUUACCCUGAAGUUUCAAAGCAUAAUAAGGAAUCUAUUAAUUUUACUAUGAUGUGUGCUUUUAU